UACGUAGGCAGCAAGCGUUGUUCGGAGUUACUGGGCGUAAAGGGUGCGUAGGCGGUCCUAUAAGUAUGGUGUGAAAUCUCCCGGCUUAACUGGGAGGGUGCGCUAUAGACUGUGGGACUAGAGUGUGGGAGAGGUGAGUGGAAUUUCCGGUGUAGCGGUGAAAUGCGUAGAUAUCGGGAGGAACACCUGUGGCGAAAGCGGCGCACUGGACCACAACUGACGCUGAGGCGCGAAAGCUAGGGGAGCAAACAGG
rnacentral:rRNA from 1 species